AUUGAACGCUGGCGGCAGGCUUAACACAUGCAAGUCGAGCGGGGUGAUGGUGCUUGCACUAUCACUUAGCGGCGGACGGGUGCGUAAUGCUUAGGAAUCUGCCUAUUAGUGGGGGACAACAUCUCGAAAGGGAUGCUACUACCGCAUACGUCCUACGGGAGAAAGCAGGGGAUCACUUGUGACCUUGCGCUAAUAGAUGAGCCUAAGUCGGAUUAGCUAGUUGGUGGGGUAAAGGCCUACCAAGGCGACGAUCUGUAGCGGGUCUGAGAGGAUGAUCCGCCACACUGGGACUGAGACACGGCCCAGACUCCUACGGGAGGCAGCAGUGGGGAAUAUUGGACAAUGGGGGGAACCCUGAUCCAGCCAUGCCGCGUGUGUGAAGAAGGCCUUAUGGUUGUAAAGCACUUUAAGCGAGGAGGAGGCUCUUUUGGUUAAUACCCAAGAUGAGUGGACGUUACUCGCAGAAUAAGCACCGGCUAACUCUGUGCCAGCCGCCGCCGUAA
rnacentral:rRNA from 1 species